CCCUUAGAUGUUCUGGGCCGCACGCGCGCUACACUGAUGCAUUCAACGAGCACCCGCUGGGCCGAGAGGUUCGGCUAAUCUUUGAACGCUGGUCGUGAUGGGGAUAGACUUUUGCAAUUUUUGGUCUUCAACGAGGAAUUCCUAGUAAACGCAAGUCAUCAACUUGCAUUGAUUACGUCCCUGCCCUUUGUACACACCGCCCGUCGCACCUACCGAUUGAAUGGUCCGGUGAAGCCUCCGGAUUGGCGCGCACCUCGGUGCCGCCGAGAAGUUGGCUAAACCUUACCAUUUAGAGGAAGGUGAAGUCGUAACA
rnacentral:rRNA from 1 species